CCAAUCAGAGCGCCGAACGU
rnacentral:miRNA from 1 species